AACGAACGCUGGCGGCAUGCCUCAUACAUGCAAGUCGAACGAAGCCUUCGGGCUUAGUGGCGAACGGGUGCGUAACGCGUGGGAACCUGCCCUUAGGUUCGGAAUAACAGUUAGAAAUGACUGCUAAUGCCGGAUAAUGUCUUCGGACCAAAGAUUUAUCGCCUUUGGAUGGGCCCGCGUAGGAUUAGGUAGUUGGUGUGGUAAUGGCGCACCAAGCCGACGAUCCUUAGCUGGUCUGAGAGGAUGAUCAGCCACACUGGGACUGAGACACGGCCCAGACUCCUACGGGAGGCAGCAGUAGGGAAUAUUGGACAAUGGGCGAAAGCCUGAUCCAGCAAUGCCGCGUGAGUGAUGAAGGCCUUAGGGUUGUAAAGCUCUUUUACCAGGGAUGAUAAUGACAGUACCUGGAGAAUAAGCUCCGGCUAACUCCGUGCCAGCAGCCGCGGUAAUACGGAGGGAGCUAGCGUUGUUCGGAAUUACUGGGCGUAAAGCGCGCGUAGGCGGCUAUCCAAGUCAGGGGUGAAAUCCCGGGGCUCAACCCCGGAACUGCCCUUGAAACUAGAUGGCUAGAAUACUGGAGAGGUGAGUGGAAUUCCGAGUGUAGAGGUGAAAUUCGUAGAUAUUCGGAAGAACACCAGUGGCGAAGGCGACUCACUGGACAGUUAUUGACGCUGAGGUGCGAAAGCGUGGGGAGCAAA
rnacentral:rRNA from 1 species